UACGUAGGGCGCAAGCGUUGUCCAGAAUUAUUGGGCGUAAAGAGCUCGUAGGCGGUUUGUCGCGUCUGCUGUGAAAACCUAAGGCUCAACCUUGGGCUUGCAGUGGGUACGGGCAGACUAGAGUGAUGUAGGGGAGACUGGAAUUCCUGGUGUAGCGGUGAAAUGCGCAGAUAUCAGGAGGAACACCGAUGGCGAAGGCAGGUCUCUGGGCAUUAACUGACGCUGAGGAGCGAAAGCAUGGGGAGCGAACAGG
rnacentral:rRNA from 1 species